UACGUAGGGGGCAAGCGUUUGUCCGGAUUUAUUGGGCGUAAAGAGCGUGUAGGCGGCCAGGUAGGUCUGCUGUGAAAACUCGAGGCUUAACCUCGAGCUGUCGGCGGAAACCAUCUGGCUAGAGUCCGGAAGAGGAGACUGGAAUUUACGGUGUAGCGGUGAAAUGCGUAGAUAUCGUAAGGAAGACCAGUGGCGAAGGCGGGGUCUCU
rnacentral:rRNA from 1 species